ensembl:lncRNA MELTF-AS1 MELTF antisense RNA 1
GCUGUCCCACGCGCCGGGUCCCGUUGGCGCCGGGGCCUCCUGGGACGGCCUGGCCGCGGCCUGCGGGUAUGCGCUCUUUCCAGAAAGGCAGCACACGCAUGUCUCUGCCGUGGCCCCAGAUCCUCCCCGCGCCGCCGUUUUGAGCGUUCACACUCAUUACCCAGGUCCGUCUGGGAGACCCGCCGGGCUCCCGCCCUCCCGGCCCGCAGCCUCCUGGCCAAAAUCCUCCCGGGACACCCCACCUGGACUGCUGCGAACGGGCCUCCACCCGCCUCCCCGGACCCGCAGCGCCCCCCGCUCCCUCAGGGUUCUGGGGUGAAGGGGUCUGAAUAGCACCAGGGGAGGCGGCAGGGCGGGCCUGUCCUACCUGCGCCCGAGCACUGCUGAGACGACAUCCCUUCCAGCGCCGCCACGUAGUCCAGCCCCAGCCAGCCGCGGUCCUGGAAGCACCGCAGGCAGACGACCUGCUCCUCACUGGGCUCAGGCAGGGUCACCCGCCCAGUGCCGCUAGCUGCAAAUUGCUUUACAUACAGUGACCCAAAGAGCAAGUCAUUUCAGGGCCCCACCACUCUGAUUGGAAGUCAUAAGCUUGACAACUGAUUGGCCUCUGUCACCCAAGCGGGUGUGGGGACACUAGGCCCGCAGGUGCCACUGGAAGAGGCGUUCAGAAGCACUGCGGUGCUCCAGCUCCUGGAUGCAGAUAUCUCCCCACAAACCUAAACAAUUUCGAGAGGGACUUGUGUUCUGCAACCAGUCACAGAAUAUCAGGUGAGCUGGGCGUGUCUUCACUGACCCACCCGCCCAGGGAUGCUGCACUCCUCUCCACCCUGCUCAGAAUCACUAGAAUGACCGUUCUGUGGCUACAGCCCUAAAAGAGCUACUAAAAAGACCAGAAGUAGUAUGAGAACUUAUGAAUACGAAUAUAAAUAAAGGACAUCUGGAGAACAUGCA